rnacentral:rRNA from 1 species
UACGUAGGGUGCAAGCGUUUGUCCGGAAUUAUUGGGCGUAAAGAGCUCGUAGGCGGUCUGUCGCGUCUGCUGUGAAAACUCAGGGCUUAACCCUGAGCUUGCAGUGGGUACGGGCAGACUAGAGUGCGGUAGGGGAGACUGGAAUUCCUGGUGUAGCGGUGAAAUGCGCAGAUAUCAGGAGGAACACCAAUGGCGAAGGCAGCUCACUGGGACGGUA